GGCGGCGUGCCUAACACAUGCAAGUCGAACGGAGUUAAGUUUAACACCGAACACUUAGUUUGGUGGAAAGACAACACAGGAUGAAGUAAGUAGUCGGUGUUGAACUUAAUUUAGUGGCGGACGGAUGAGUAACGCGUGAGUAACCUGCCUUUCAGGGAGGGAUAACGUCUGGAAACGGACGCUAAUACCGCAUAACAUAUCGGGGUCACAUGGCCCUGAUAUCAAGGGAGCAAUCUGCUGAAAGAUGGACUCGCGUCCGAUUAGCUAGUUGGUGAGAUAAAGGCCCACCAAGGCGACGAUCGGUAGCCGGACUGAGAGGUUGAACGGCCACAUUGGGACUGAGACACGGCCCAGACUCCUACGGGAGGCAGCAGUGGGGGAUAUUGCACAAUGGAGGAAACUCUGAUGCAGCAACGCCGCGUGAGGGAAGACGGUUUUCGGAUUGUAAACCUCUGUCCUUGGUGAAGAUAAUGACGGUAGCCAAGGAGGAAGCUCCGGCUAACUACGUGCCAGCAGCCGCGGUAAUACGUAGGGAGCAAGCGUUGUCCGGAUUUACUGGGUGUAAAGGGUGCGUAGGCGGCACUGCAAGUCAGGCGUGAAAGCCGGAGGCUUAACCUCCGAACUGCGUUUGAAACUGUGGUGCUUGAGUGAAGUAGAGGUAGGCGGAAUUCCCGGUGUAGCGGUGAAAUGCGUAGAGAUCGGGAGGAACACCAGUGGCGAAGGCGGUUUACUGGGCUUUAACUGACGCUGAGGCACGAAAGCAUGGGUAGCAAACAGGAUUAGAUACCCUGGUAGUCCAUGCCGUAAACGAUGAUUACUAGGUGUGGGGGGUCUGACCCCUUCCGUGCCGGAGUUAACACAAUAAGUAAUCCACCUGGGGAGUACGGUCGCAAGGUUGAAACUCAAAGGAAUUGACGGGGGCCCGCACAAGCAGUGGAGUAUGUGGUUUAAUUCGAAGCAACGCGAAGAACCUUACCAGGUCUUGACAUCCAACUAACGAAGCAGAGAUGCAUCAGGUGCCCUUCGGGGAAAGUUGAGACAGGUGGUGCAUGGUUGUCGUCAGCUCGU
rnacentral:rRNA from 1 species